GAUGAACGCUGGCGGCGUGCCUAAUACAUGCAAGUCGAGCGAACGGACGAGAAGCUUGCUUCUCUGAUGUUAGCGGCGGACGGGUGAGUAACACGUGGAUAACCUACCUAUAAGACUGGGAUAACUUCGGGAAACCGGAGAUAAUACCGGAUAAUAUUUUGAACCGCAUGGUUCAAAAGUGAAAGACGGUCUUGCUGUCACUUAUAGAUGGAUCCGCGCUGCAUUAGCUAGUUGGUAAGGUAACGGCUUACCAAGGCAACGAUGCAUAGCCGACCUGAGAGGGUGAUCGGCCACACUGGAACUGAGACACGGUCCAGACUCCUACGGGAGGCAGCAGUGGGGAAUCUUCCGCAAUGGGCGAAAGCCUGACGGAGCAACGCCGCGUGAGUGAUGAAGGUCUUCGGAUCGUAAAGCUCUUUUAUUAGGGAAGAACAUAUGUGUAAGUAACUGUGCACAUCUUGACGGUACCUAAUCAGAAAGCCACGGCUAACUACGUG
rnacentral:rRNA from 1 species